rnacentral:rRNA from 1 species
UACGUGGGGAGCAAGCGUUGUUCGGAUUUACUGGGCGUAAAGGGCGCGUAGGCGGCGCAACAAGUCACUUGUGAAAUCUCCGGGCUUAACCCGGAGCGGCCAAGUGAUACUGUCGUGCUAGAGUGCGGAAGGGGCUACUGGAAUUCUCGGUGUAGCGGUGAAAUGCGUAGAUAUCGAGAGGAACACCUGCGGCGAAGGCGGGUAGCUGGGCCGACACUGACGCUGAGGCGCGAAAGCCAGGGGAGCGAACGGG